GAACUGGAUAAGUAAUGUGAAUUGCAGAAUUCAGUGAAUCAUCGAGUCUUUGAACGCACAUUGCGCCCCCUGGCAUUCCGGGGGGCAUGCCUGUCC
rnacentral:rRNA from 1 species